rnacentral:rRNA from 1 species
UGAUCAUGGCUCAGGACGAACGCUGGCGGCGUGCCUAAUACAUGCAAGUCGAGCGAAUCUUGAGGAGCUUGCUCCUUAAGGUUAGCGGCGGACGGGUGAGUAACACGUGGGCAACCUGCCUGUAAGACUGGGAUAACACCGGGAAACCGGUGCUAAUACCGGAUAAUUUUUCACCUCACAUGAGGUGAAGCUGAAAGUCGGUUUCGGCUGACACUUACAGAUGGGCCCGCGGCGCAUUAGCUAGUUGGUGAGGUAACGGCUCACCAAGGCGACGAUGCGUAGCCGACCUGAGAGGGUGAUCGGCCACACUGGGACUGAGACACGGCCCAGACUCCUACGGGAGGCAGCAGUAGGGAAUCUUCCGCAAUGGACGAAAGUCUGACGGAGCAACGCCGCGUGAGUGAUGAAGGCCUUCGGGUCGUAAAACUCUGUUGUUAGGGAAGAACAAGUACCGGAGUAACUGCCGGUACCUUGACGGUACCUAACCAGAAAGCCACGGCUAACUACGUGCCAGCAGCCGCGGUAAUACGUAGGUGGCAAGCGUUGUCCGGAAUUAUUGGGCGUAAAGCGCGCGCAGGCGGUCCUUUAAGUCUGAUGUG